UACAGAGGUCUCAAGCGUUGUUCGGAUUCAUUGGGCGUAAAGGGUGCGUAGGCGGCGCGGUAAGUCGGGUGUGAAAUCUCGGAGCUUAACUCCGAAACUGCAUUCGAUACUGCGGUGCUUGAGGACUGGAGAGGAGACUGGAAUUCAUGGUGUAGCAGUGAAAUGCGUAGAGAUCAUGAGGAAGACCAGUGGCGAAGGCGGGUCUCUG
rnacentral:rRNA from 1 species